UUUCGGUGACAGUGUUCGACAAUGCAAAAACACGCUGAAAACGUGAGAGUAAGGAAAGGUUGUCAGUGAACAGACAAACGAAUUAAGUUGCAGAUUCCUGCAACCAAGGCCUUCUGCAGCAGCAGGACACACCAGAACAUCAUAUAACUACAGAUUGGAGAUAACAUAGAUAAUGAAGAGGAAGGUGAUGAAGAGGACUGUCUGAACAAACUACAUACAAAGAGGCCAGCUGAAAGAAGGCAUCUGGUUCAGUGGUUCAUCUCUGAGCAUCCAGACCAGUGGCGUGUUGAAGAUGGAUGGAGAGUCCAGGACAGGGAUUUAAAGUCUCCCCAUUUCCAAUCACACAUUCCUGAGGGAAGGUUCUGCCUGAUGAAUGAUCUUUAUUGAGGAGAAGAAGCUAAAAGAAGCAUGUCAUUGCUCUCAUUUGAUGGUGUUUGUAUGUACUAUAGAGGCUCCUACCUUCAUUUUGUUCCAGGUGUUGCAGCCGAUAUUUCAAUGGGGUGCUUUAUCAAAACAGGAUUCUCUGCAGUAACUGUGGUAUAUUGGCAAUAUUCUGUAACUGAUGGUUAUUUAUGUUCAAAGGGAGUUUUUGUUAAGGCUAAUAAAUGCCGAACUGUGUACUUAACACUGGGGAUUGUUCUGAUUUUGUUGCAAUGAUAUUCUUUU